rnacentral:tRNA from 1 species
GAGGAUAUAGCUCAAUUGGUAGAGUGCAUACUUAGCAUGCACGAGGUCCUGGGUUCAAUCCCCAGUGCCUCU